UUGGAGGGCAAGUCUGGUGCCAGCAGCCGCGGUAAUUCCAGCUCCAAUAGCGUAUAUUAAAGUUGUUGCAGUUAAAAAGCUCGUAGUUGAAUUUCGGGAUCAAAUUGUCGGUCGUGCCUCGGUACGCACUGGUAUUAUUGGUUCCUACCUUCUGAAGAACCGCGAUGUCAUUAAUUUGGUGUCGUGGGGAAUCAGGACUGUUACUUUGAAAAAAUUAGAGUGUUUAAAGCAGGCUUACGCUUGAAUACAUUAGCAUGGAAUAAUGAAAUAGGACGUUUGAUUCUAUUUUGUUGGUUUCUAGGAUUGACGUAAUGAUUAAUAGGGAUAGUUGGGGGCAUUAGUAUUCAAUUGUCAGAGGUGAAAUUCUUGGAUUUAUUGAAGACUAACUACUGCGAAAGCAUUUGCCAAGGAUGUUUUCAUUAGUCAAGAACGAAAGUUAGGGGAUCGAAGACGAUCAGAUACCGUCGUAGUCUUAACCAUAAACUAUGCCGACUAGGGAUCGGAUGAUGUUAAUUUUUUAAUGACUCAUUCGGCGCCUUACGGGAAACCAAAGUGUUUGGGUUC
rnacentral:rRNA from 1 species